CCACCUGGCAGCCACCACUGUGCUCUGUUUCGAGGAGCUGGGAUAAUUUCAAUGUCUCCUAAAUGGGAAAAACAGUCCUAGAAUUCACAUGGAACCACAAGAACCCCAGAUAGCCAAAGCCAUCUUGAGCAAGAGCAACAACAUGGGAG
rnacentral:lncRNA from 1 species